AGUUCGGAUUGGAGUCUGCAACUCGACUCCAUGAAGCCGGAAUCGCUAGUAAUCGCGUAUCAGCAACGACGCGGUGAAUACGUUCCCGGGCCUUGUACACACCGCCCGUCAAGCCAUGGAAGCUUAGGGUACCCGAAGUCCGUGACCCAACCUUGGAGGGAGCGGCCGAAGGUAAAUUAAGUGACUGGGGCUAAGUCGUAACAAGGUAGCCGUACGGGAACGUGCGGCUGGAUCACCUCCUAA
rnacentral:rRNA from 1 species